rnacentral:rRNA from 1 species
GACGAACGCUGGCGGCGUGCUUAACACAUGCAAGUCGAGCGGAAAGGCCCUUUCGGGGGUACUCGAGCGGCGAACGGGUGAGUAACACGUGAGUAAUCUGCCCUUGGCUUUGGGAUAACUACCGGAAACGGUGGCUAAUACCGGAUAUGACCAUGCUCGGCAUCGGGUGUGGUGGAAAGUUUUUUCGGCCAGGGAUGUGCUCGCGGCCUAUCAGCUUGUUGGUGGGGUAAUGGCCUACCAAGGCUUCGACGGGUAGCCGGCCUGAGAGGGUGACCGGCCACACUGGGACUGAGACACGGCCCAGACUCCUACGGGAGGCAGCAGUGGGGAAUAUUGGACAAUGGGCGGAAGCCUGAUCCAGCAACGCCGCGUGAGGGAUGACGGCCUCGGUGUUAACGUA